CUCGCAUCCCGCCCGCUCCUCUGCUAUUCUCGGCUAGGACUGGCGCUUCCCGCUGGCUCGGAGCCCGACACUGUGGGGCAAGGGUGGCGAGAGCACCCAUCCCCCUGGGGCGUCAGGUUGGCAGAUCUCAGCAGGCGGGUGCCAAUCUUUUCUCCCCGCCCCCUAGUUUGCCUUGGUUCCGAACUCCUGCCCUUUGCGCGGCCUGCUUGCUGGGGGGCAGGCGUUUGAAACAUCUAGUCUCUGCCCAGUGGUGCCCGGGAUCUGUUCCACCGACGGGGCUGGAGCUGAAUUUUCAUUAGAAUGGCAACAUACCCAAAGACGCCCUUACGCAAGCAAGCAGUCGUGGCAGGCCAGGAAAUUACCGCAACACCUUGGUUCCGCCCCCGGCCAAGGAAAGUUAACUGACUUGAUUGGGCGGGUCCACUCGGAUAGGGGAAAUUAAAAAAAAAAAGUUUUUCAGUAAAUCUGAUAUAUGGAAAUGCGUGAGCCACUGCGCCUGGCCUAUUCCCUAGGUUUCUACGCUCAGGUUGUUCUCUGAUUUUGUUCACUCUCUCUACUCACUCGGGAUUUAAAUAUGCUACUCUUUCUCUUGUGAUAUGAUUCAGUCCAGAUGGCAUCUUCAGAAACCUUUCUUGACACCCCAUCCCUACCACUCUUCUCCACCUAUUAAGUGCUCCUUUCCCAUAGAUAAUUCUAGAAUAUAUAUAUUAAAUUCUAGUGAAAUUUUCCGUUUACAUGUCAACGGCCUCCAACUAGAGAGUAAGCUUCUUUAAGUCAGACCUGUGUUUUACCUGUAUCUGCAAUGCCUAGGACUAUGUAGCAUUCAAUGAAUUCUUGUUUAUUUGCUCUGAACUGUGAGUCACUUUUGUAUUCUAGCACUUGAUUUAAAGCCAGCAUGUAGCUGGUGACCAAUAAAU
rnacentral:lncRNA from 10 species